AAAGUACUCCCUCCGUCCCAAAAUUCUUGUCUUAGAUUUGUCUAGAUACGGAUGUAUCAAGUCACAUUUUAGUAUUAGAUACAUCCGUAUCUAGACAAAUNGACAAAUCUAAGACAAGAAAUUUGGGACAGAGGGAGUAGUUG
rnacentral:pre_miRNA from 1 species